rnacentral:lncRNA from 1 species
AGAUAAUUCCUCUCUUCGGGUUUGAUAUGCAUAUUAAGAGGAUAAAUUGUACAUGUGAUCUUGGGCAAAAUUCAGGGCUGUAGGACAUAAGAAGAGCUUCCAUUUUCUAGCUUUUCAUCCUGUAUUUCUUUCAUAGGUCAUCAAACACAGGCAUGCCAGAAUUCUGGAAAACAAAGUAAAUGGAUAUUUGUUUUUUCUCCCUCAGCCAAGACCAUCCUCAAGGAGGUUAAUGAAUGUGGCACCACAAGAAAAAUAUGCAUCAACAUUGAAAAGUAAGAUGAAUUAUUUUACCUGGUAGUAUUUUUUUUGUUAAUUAUACUUUAUUUGUUUACAUUAA